rnacentral:lncRNA from 1 species
GAGUUGCCUCUUUACACCAUGUGGGACUUGAGACAUUGAGCUCAGGCCACCAGGACUGACAGUAGCACCCUUACCAACUGAGCUAUCUCACUGACUCAUUUCUUACCUUUUAGGGUAAAAUUAUCUAGAAGUAGGAGUUCUGGGUGUUCCCGUCGCUUCUUCUUGCACCUGAUAGAUUGUUUUAGUCCUGAUCUGAUAUGUUGCUUAUUCCUCUUCCUGAAACACUCCUUUGCAGACUUUCAGACCCAGUGUGUGAAUGAAGAAGUGACUGCACAUGUGCAUCUUACCAGCUUCUAGAUUUGUUUCAAACGUCUUAAAAUGUUAGAACAAGACAGUUCUUGUGGACUUACCACCCCCCCUCCCAAUCCCUUUUCUGUAGAUGAGAUCAUGGACAGACAUUUUGGGACAGCACUCAACAGUGGAAGCAGGGCUGGAUUGUAUGCCUACUCUGGACCAUGCUUAUGUGUAUGCUGUAUUCUUCUAUGGGUAGUGUGGCUGAUAACUGUCCAGCUAACUAGUGGUCCUCUGCUGGAGUCUAACUUCUUGCAGACUAGUUUCCUUUUCACAUUUGCUGAGUCAGUGUCUUUGCAUCCAAACAAAUGUCCUUGAUAUCACCUAUCUGGUUCUUUUUUUUCCUUUUUCUUCCUUCUUGUCAGAGACAUAAUGUGUCAUCUAGCUAGGACUGAAAUGGAUAGUGUUCUUAUCGAUAGACCCUCAUUUCCGGAGAAGUAGCUAUCUAAGAGCAAUAUGCACUUGUAGAAUCUGGAAUCAGCCUUAGGAAGAUACAAAAUGUUGCUUUUUUUUCCCCUCAGAUGAAGUGAUGAGAUGAGAGCCACACACAAGCUGUGUGAAAACAUGGCUUGGGCUGAGCCCAGAGUGCUUCCUUCUCUGUUGUAACUAUCCUAGGCCUAGGCCUGGAUGCUUCUAGCCUCCGUACAAUCUAAUCUUCCAAGCUGACUGACUCAUUCUGGCUUCUCUUGACUUCUGACUGAAUUGCUCUGUCUGGUUUCAUACUAACUUUGGCUAUAUGUGCUAAUAUUCUGGCUCCUCCUUCUGUGGCUAGUUCUAUUUUCACCUAUGUCUAACUUAUUCUCUCUGUAGCCUGCCCUGUAAAACUGUCCCAGUAAAACUGCCACACAUACACAAUACCACCACCUGCUACACUACUUUUUUCUCUCUCCUGCUCUUAAGUAGCCUCUCUUCCUCUGCUGUUCUCAUGUGAAUUGAGCAUAUCCUAUCUCUGACUCAUUUUGUCAAAUCUUUCUCUGAUUCGUCACUUUGUCUGCUUCCUUUUGCAAAUUAAUCUUACCAUCAUUGUUAGGAAUUAAAGGCAUGUUCUAAGGGUGUGUCUGUAUUCCAGCCGGAUCCUACUAUAAUCCAGGGUGUGUACAUUCCAAGUGGAUCAUAUCUUUGGAUGUGAUUCUUUGCCAGAGCAGCAAUGUUACUAGAUUAAAAUUCUUCUACAGGAAGAGGCUGAGAAAGCACUCAAUGUAACCCUCAGAGGGAGUCCCUGAAUUCAGAGCUGUGUAUUAGACAAGAUAUGUUAAGAGGAAGAGACUCUACAUACAGCUUGCAUAUGUUUAUGAUGAACAUUCUAUGCUGCUUCCAUCCCAUAUAGACUGCUGUGGCUUUUAGACAACUUUCCAUUGUCUCAGGUACUGACAGUUUCUGAUGUGUUGCUCAGACUGCCAACGCCAAGGAACGGAGUCUCAACUGUAGUUCAGAGAUGCUCUGAGCAGCUUUUUAGUCAUUAGAAAUACAUUGUCCACAAACCUUACUGCUGAGAAAUUAGACUUACGGUGUGUUGAAGUUUGUUUGCUUGCUAGCUUUGAGACAGGGUCUUCCCACAGCCCAAGCAGACCUCAAAUCUUUAUCUUUCUGUCUCAACUUUCCCAGGUCAGCGUUGCACUGACAACAGGCUGCCCCUUUACGAGGGUCAGAGCAAUGUCAGCAGACAGUAGCAAUAGUGGAAGGCCCCAAGGAGGCCAGGUGUGAAGAACGAAACGUGGGAAGUGGGAACUAUUUAUGCUCUCCAAAACAAAAGCAAAAAAUGGUAUACAGAUGUAGAUUUUUUUUUUUAUAAAAAGUAGUGAAAUUCUUGAAAAAAAAUAAAAAGAUCCAGAAAUCUGAACAAGGACUUGUAGAGCGAGCAGUGCUUCCUCACCUUCUGAGUGCUGUGACUCACAAACAUAGUUCCUCAUGCUGUAGUCACCCCAACUGUAAGAUUACUUUCAUUGCUACUUUGUAACUGAAAUUUUGCUACUGUUAUUAAUCAUAAUGUAAACAUCUGUGUUUCCCAAUAGUCUUAGGUGAACCUGGUGAAAGGGUCAUUUGACCCCCAAGGGGGUCACAACCCACAGGUUAAAAAAAAAAAAAAAAACCAAUAUGCUAGAAGAAAAAACUUUUUUUUUUUUUAAAUAAGAACUUAAACAGAGUUUUAGGGCAAAAAGCCUGGGAUUGGCCUCUCACCCAGCAUAGGGAGAAAAGAGAUGUAAUUAUGGAUGGUCACACAGAAGCUCAGAUAAAGGGGUCUUGUGAUCACAGCUCUGUCUUCAGAUUAAAUAAAGAAUUGUUUCAUGGGGCUAAUGGGGUUCGUGAAAGUGUAGCUCUGGUCAGGGUCUGGCCAGGCUGGCCAUUAUCUCAGCCCUGGCUCUGCAGGAUUUUCUGUGUCGUUAUCAUCCUUACGGAAUGCAGUCCGGUUCAGAGAUGGCUCCUACUGCAGCACCUGUCUUUAACCUGAUUUGCCCUCCAUGACCCAUUUCCAUAGGCAUGGUUCCUUUUAGAUUCAAGGUGACAACAAGCUCAGGCUGGUGAUUUAUCGUUGUGCCUUGUGGGUCCAAAGGACCAGUUAGUGCUUUUUAGCAAAGGCAGUUUUUCAGGACUGUUCCUUGAAGAUGCUUUUGCAAGGGAAUGAGAACAGGAGAAAGAGGGCUUCAUCCUGUAGGAAUAGGUGAGAAAAGCCCAUGGACAAGCACCCGAGAGUUUUAAACAUAAGAUUCUAGGAGCUUGGGCUGGAGAGGUGGCUCAUUGGUUAAGAGCACUGUCUGCUCUUCUAGAAGUCCUGAGUUCAAUUCCCAGCAACCACAUGGUGGCUCACAACCAUCUGUAAUGGGAUCCAUGCACUCUUCUGGUGUGUCUGAAGACAGCUACAAUGUACUCAUAUAAACU